UAUAUGUAUACUCAAUGUCCAUAUCACUCCAUUUAAGUUGUUGUAAAGUAGUGUUGAAAAUUUGAACCCACGUAGAGCAGAAUGAUUAGUUGAUUACAAAGGGGCCAUACAAUCUAUUCCAAAAUUUUGAGAUCAAGCCCUUGUUAUUAUUGUACUUGUAUUGUUAUUAUAAUUACUUAAAUGCACCAAUCAUGUUAACUUAUUUAUUUUUCUUCAUGGAUCUAGUGAAGUAAUAACCUUUCUUGUUUCUACAGGAGUUUAGGAGAUUGAAGCUGUUAUGGAAAAAGGAGAUGCUCCUGUAAGAGAUGGGAGGACCUUGAUAUUAAUAUCUUAGUAAAGAUACUACUGUCCUUGGACAUUUUCCAGUUGAUGUAUGCAAUUCCUCAAGUUUGUCGCGCAUGACAAUUGGCUUGUUCUGAUCCACUUCUCUGGAAAACGCUGGACUUGUCGGUGUUGCAAUCAAAUUUUGUCAUAAUUUCAACAAAGCCAUAUGUAUUUUGUGGGCACUCGUCUCGUGAAAAAUUGUCCCGUCUCCUAAAGAUCUGCAUGAACCCAGUCAUGGAAACAUAGAAACAUUGAUCUUCCAUCACAAUUUCUAUGUUGACGACAAUCAAUUGACUUAUACUGCCAAUAGGAGUCUAGGAGAUUGAAGCUUUUAUGAUGCCAUUUCAAAUUAAAAGAACAUUGAAUGCUAUGGUGAUUGAAGGACCUUGAAAAUGAUAUCUUGGUGAAGAUACUUUAACCUUUUCCAAUUGAUAUCUGUAAUUCCUCAAGUUUGUCGUGCAUGGCAAUGGGCUUGUUCUGAUCAACUUCUCUGGAAAAUGCUGGACUCAGUAUUGCAAUCGAAUUUCAUCAGAUUCCCAAGGAAGGUCGUACAGUCCGUCUCAAGAAAAAUUAACCCGCCUCCUAAAUAUUUGCUUGAACUUUUGUCGUGGAAACAUACAAACAUUGAUUUUCCAUCACAAUAUGCAUGUUAACGACAAUCAGUUGAGUUUUACUGCCGAGAGGUGUCCACAGCUUAAACGAGUUGUUAUGCCUUCUUGAAACAAAA